UCUCACCCAACUCUAUACUAUCAUUCACCUUUAUUCGAAUGCAAGGAACAGGUUUUUAAACUAAACACUUUGUUUUGUUUAACCAGAAGCCCCCAUGCUAUAUUAUAAUUUUUUAAUUAAAAUACCGUCUGGGACCUAUUCAGACUCCCUACCCACACCCCCUUGGCUUUUUUUUUUUUUUCCCAUGGGAAGAUGGAUCGUCAGGGAAAUUCCAACUGUCUUUAUGACAUAAGAGGAAAAAAAUCAUAAAUUUAAAACCACAACGUUCAUGUUCACACCCAUGUGCAUUCUCUCUUCCGUAUGAAUUUCACUUCUUUCUGAGUCAGAGGCCGUGAUGUGCAAACACUUAAUGCCUGGCUCUCCAGGGGAACAAGCCCUGAUGUGUCCCAUUUGCCAAUUUCCAUGGUGUAAAGACUUCCACCAUGGUCGGAUUACAACCACCAACCUGAGGUCACUAAACCGGGAGUUUGGAAGAGAAGCCGGCGAUCAGCUCUCAGAAGCCAGUGCCAGCUUGCUCCAGCUCACCCCUGAGAAGGACUCCAAAACUGGUGCUCCAUUUUCUCAGUCGGUGUCUGCCUCCGGGACUAUACGUUCUUCAAACAACUGGGCUACUAGCUCCUUUGCAAACUGGACCAAAAUCUUCAAAGGAAAGAGAAAGGAAGAUUAUCUACUUACCAAAGCAGUCACUGGGGAAAGUGGGGUAUCUCACAUCUCUUCCAUCUCAAGGCCUGCUCAUCCCAACUUCUGGUUGUACUUCCUCUAUGGAAAGAUAAAGCAAUACUCUCUGAACCAUCUGUGUUCCCCUCAGGGAUGGUGGUCUUCAAAGAUGGCAACCGAAGAAGGUCGGGGAUGGCCACUGUUGCCAGGCCUCAAGCCCAUAACCGGAAGUGGAUUUGUUCUCCAUGGGCACCUCCUUUUUUCUAGCCCUCCCCACUCAUUGCUGAAUGACACGGAGCCAAGGCUCAAGGACCAGCCAGCCAAUGCGAAGCCGGAGGGGAGAGGAUGCAAACACCGUGGAAGCCUCUCCUGCCUCUGAGUUGUUGAUGGUUUUCUCUCCCCACCUAAUCACAAACUUUGAUUACCCUGGAGCUCAUCCCUGUAAUCCCAGCACUUUGGGAGGCCGAGGUACCCGGAUCACUUGAGGUCAGAAGCUCGAGACCAUCCUGGCCAACAUGGUGAAACCCUGUCUCUACUAAAAAUACAAAAAAUUAGCUGGGCAUGGUGGCACACGCCUGUAGUCUCAGCUGCUGGGGGUGCUGAGGCAGGAGAAUUGCUUGAACCUGGAAGGCAGAGGUUGCAGUGAGCCAAGGUUUGCACCAUUGCACUUCAGCCUGGAUGACAGACCGAGACUCCAUCUCAAAAAAAAAAAAAAAAUUUAUCUUGAAGAAUUCAUGUGAUGAUGAACUUAAAUGAAUAGAAUGAAUAAAUGAAUAGAACACUUUUCCUGUGUCUGGCCAUGCUCUAAGUGCGUUAUUUGUCUUAACCCAUUGGGUCCUCACAGAACCCUAAAAGGCAGGUCCCCGUGUGACAGGUGGGAAGCAGAAACUCAGAGGGUUUUGUUAACUAGUCUAGAGCCCCAGGAUUGAACCUGGCCAGUGGGACGCAGCACCUGCCCUGCAUUUCUGAGUGGGCUUGAUGGGAUAGAUGAAGUCCCCACUGCACCCGCCAUGCCCUCCUCAACACUGCUGGAGCCCCC
rnacentral:lncRNA from 1 species